GAAUCCCGUCUUUGACAUGGACUGCCUGUACAUUAUGGUGCGCUCUCAAAGAGUCGAGUUGUUUGGGAAUGCAGCUCAAAAUGGGUGGUAAAUGCCAUCUAAAGCUAAAUAUUGGCGAGAGACCGAUAGCGAACAAGUACCGUGAGGGAAAGAUGAAAAGAACUUUGGAAAGAGAGUUAAACAGUACGUGAAAUUGCUGAAAGGGAAACGCUUAAAGUCAGUCGCGUUGGCUGGAAAUCAGCCCUUGCUUUUGCUUGGUGUAUUUUCUGGUCGACGGGUCAGCAUCAAUUUCGACCAUUGGAUAAAGUCAUUGGGAAUGUGGCAUCUUUUGGAUGUGUUAUAGCCCAUUGUUGUAUACGGUGGUUGGGAUUGAGGAACUCAGCAUGCCCGCGAGGGCCAGGUUUCGACCAUGUUUCAUGCUUAGGAUGCUGGCAUAAUGGCUUUAAUCGACCCGUCUUGAAACACGGACCAAGGAGUCUAACAUGCCUGCGAGUGUUUGGGUGGAAAACCCAUGCGCGCAAUGAAAGUGAAAGUUGAGAUCCCUGUUAGAGGGGAGCAUUGACGCCCGGACCAGAGCUUUUGUGACGGAUCCGCGGUAGAGCAUGUAUGUUGGGACCCGAAAGAUGGUGAACUAUGCCUGAAUAGGGUGAAGCCAGAGGAAACUCUGGUGGAGGCUCGUAGCGAUUCUGACGUGCAAAUCGAUCGUCAAAUUUGGGUAUAGGGGCGAAAGACUAAUCGAACCAUCUAGUAGCUGGUUCCUGCC
rnacentral:rRNA from 1 species